GACGAGCCUCACAAACGUUAUUCGGAAUUACUGGGCUUAAAGGGUGCGUAGGCGGCGCGGAAAGUUGGGUGUGAAAUCCCUCAGCUUAACUGAGGAAGGGCGCCCAAAACUACCGUGCUCGAGGGAGAUAGAGGAGUGCGGAACUUAGGGUGGAGCGGUUAAAUGCGUUGAUAUCCUAGGGAACACCGGUGGCGAAAGCGGCACUCUGGAUCUCUUCUGACGCUGAGGCACGAAAGCUAGGGUAGCAAACGGG
rnacentral:rRNA from 1 species